rnacentral:sRNA from 15 species
GAUGAUUGGCAUGGCUGAGAAACGGCCAUCUCGGAGGAGUUCUGGAUAGCAGUUCG